UCUCGAUAACGUAAAAGUUAACUCAAAUUUGUAUAGAGUCGGAACGUUUGCCUAGAUUUGCCGCUAGGGGCGCUGUUCCAACUGCAUACAAAUUUACUUUUACGCUAUCGA
rnacentral:pre_miRNA from 9 species